GAGGCUCCACGCGAGCCGAAGUGAAUAACGCCCCGCUUCCAGGAAAAGCCUCUAAGCUUCAGAUCACAUUGGACCGUACCGUAAACCGACACUGGUGGGUGAGCAGAUAAUCUGCCAAGGCGCUUGAGAGAACUCGGGUUAAGGAACUCUGCAAAUUGAUACCGUAACUUCGGAAGAAGGUAUGCCUUCGACGGUGUAGGGAUUUACUCCCGAAGCUGUUGAAGGUCGCAGGUAAUCGGUGGCUGCGACUGUUUAUCAAAAACACAGGACUCUGCGAACACGCAAGUGGAAGUAUAGGGUCUGACGCCUGCCCGGUGCCGGAAGGUUAAUUGAUGGGGUUAGCCGCAAGGCGAAGCUCUUGAUCGAAGCCCCGGUAAACGGCGGCCGUAACAAUAACGGUCCUAAGGUAGCGAAAUUCCUUGUCGGGUAAGUUCCGACCUGCACGAAUGGCGUAACGCUGGCCACACUGUCUCGACCCGAGACUCAGUGAAGUUGGAAUCGCUGUGAAGAUGCGGCGUUCCCGCGGCAAGACGGAAAGACCCCGUGAACCUUCACUACAGCUUUACACUGAACUUUGAACCUUUCUGUGUAGGAUAGGUGGGAGGCUAUGAAACUUGGGCGCUAGCUCGAGUGGAGCCAACCUUGAAAUACCACCCUGGGAUGUUUGAAGUUCUAACCUUGGUCCGUAAUCCGGAUUGGGGACAGUGUAUGGUGGGUAGUUUGACUGGGGCGGUCUCCUCCCAAAGAGUAACGGAGGAGUGCAAUGGUACGCUCAGCGCGGUCGGUCAUCGCGCUCUAGAGUGCAAAGGCAUAAGCGUGCUUAACUGUGAGACAGACACGUCGAACAGGUACGAAAGUAGGUCUUAGUGAUCCGGUGGUUCUGUAUGGAAGGGCCAUCGCUCAACGGAUAAAAGGUACUCCGGGGAUAACAGGCUUAUUCCUCCCAAGAGUCCACAUCGACGGAGGAGUUUGGCACCUCGAUGUCGGCUCAUCACAUCCUGGGGCUGUAGCAGGUCCCAAGGGUAUGGCUGUUCGCCAUUUAAAGUGGUACGCGAGCUGGGUUCAGAACGUCGUGUGACAGUUCGGUCCCUAUCUGCCGUGGGCGUUGGAAACUUGAGGGUGAGCUGUCCAUAGUACGAGAGGACCGGGAUGGACGUAUCUCUGGUGUUCCGGUUGUCACGCCAGUGGCACUGCCGGGUAGCUAUAUACGGACGGGAUAAGCGCUGAAAGCAUCUAAGCGCGAAGCCCCCCCCAAGAUUAGGUUUCCCUGGGAACUCGAUUCCCCUAAAGGGCCGUCGGAGACUACGACGUUGAUAGGCUGGGUGUGUAAGUGCGGCAAUGCAUUGAGCUAACCAGUACUAAUUGCCCGUGAGGCUUGAGC
rnacentral:rRNA from 1 species